UACGUAGGGGGCAAGCGUUGUCCGGAAUCAUUGGGCGUAAAGCGCGUGUAGGCGGCCAUGUAAGUCCGUUCUGAAAGCCCGGGGCUCAACCCCGGGAGGCGGAUGGAUACUGCAUGGCUCGAGUACGGAAGAGGCGAGUGGAAUUCCCGGUGUAGCGGUGAAAUGCGCAGAUAUCGGGAGGAACACCAAUGGCGAAGGCAGCUCGCUGGGACGUUACUGACGCUGAGGAGCGAAAGCGUGGGGAGCGAACAGG
rnacentral:rRNA from 1 species